rnacentral:rRNA from 1 species
CCUACGGGAGGCAGCAGUGAGGAAUAUUGGUCAAUGGGCGCGAGCCUGAACCAGCCAAGUAGCGUGAAGGAUGACUGCCCUACGGGUUGUAAACUUCUUUUAUAAAGGAAUAAAGUGAGGCACGUGUGCGUUUUUGGAUGUACUUUAUGAAUAAGGACGGGCUAACUCCGUGCCAGCAGCCGCGGUAAUACGGAGGUUCCGUGGGUUAUCCGGAUUUAUUGGGUUUAAAGGGGGUGUAGAUGGGUUGUUAAGUCAGUUGUGAAAGUUUGCGGCUCAACCGUAAACUGGCCAUUGAUCCUGGCAGUCUUGAGUACAGUUGAGGUAGGCGGAAUUCGUGGUGUAGCGG